CCGCGGUAAUACAGAGGGUGCGAGCGUUAAUCGGAAUUACUGGGCGUAAAGCGCGCGUAGGCGGCUUUGCAAGUCGGGUGUGAAAUCCCCAGGCUUAACCUGGGAACUGCACUCGAGACUGCAUUGCUAGAGUAUGGGAGAGGGAAGUGGAAUUUCCGGUGUAGCGGUGAAAUGCGUAGAUAUCGGAAGGAACAUCAGUGGCGAAAGCGACUUCCUGGACCAAUACUGACGCUCAUGUGCGAAGGCGUGGGGAGCAAACAGGAUUAGAUACCCUGGUAGUCCACGCCAUAAACGAUGAGAACUGGAUGUCGGGAGGGUCUGCCUCUCGG
rnacentral:rRNA from 1 species